UUGCUGAACUGCACCAGAUUCUCUUCCAUAGAGAACAACGCCUACUUAAAUAUCUCAGCGAUGAGAAAGAGAUGAUUCUAAAUACAAUGGAGAAAAAUAUUCAAGAGAUUCAAGUGUGUUUGAAUCUUAUGCAGCAGGAACUCCCAAUUUUACAGAAACAACUGGGUCAAGUAAAUGGUGUGACAUUACUCCAGGAAGAAGCUGGUCGGAAGCGAAGGGUUGGAUGUGGGGUGCAUACAUUGUCGGUA